AAUUUUGUAUUCUCCUUGUUGUUGAGGUGCAAAGUGUCAAAUAACUGAAAUGAUUGACUGGAAAAAGCCAUUAGUGAAGCAGUCGGUAAACGAGAUAGUGCAUCUGCGGCAAGGUUGUGUUUUCCUGGCCGAUAUACAAUUUCAAAAUCAUAUCCCACGAGUUUGCUUAACCACUUUUAUUGCUCUGGGGUCUGGAUUACUUGACCAGUGAGACUCUUAAGAGCCUGUUGAUCAGUGAUUAUAGUAAAACGUCUCCCUAAUAGAUUUGGCGCCAUUUGCUAACAUAUUGAGUGAUAGCCAACAUUUCGCGCACAUAAGUGGAAGCCUGUUGCAUUCUCGGGCAUAACUUUUGGCUGAAAUAGGCAACAGGAUGUCCUUUUUUAGAGAGAACAACCCCAAUGCCCAUCCCAGAGUCAUCAGUUUCAACCUGGAAUGGUUGACUAAAGUCAGGCAAUGCUAACACUGGUGUAGAGCUGAGACAACUCUUAAGUUUCUUGAAUGCAUCUUGAGCUUCAGGAGUCCAAGAGUAAGAAUCAGUACGUAGUAAAUCAGUCAACGGACUUGCAAGCAUAGCAUAGUUGCGGAUGAAACGUCUGUAGUAUCCCGCUAACCCCAAGAAGCUACGAACUUCCUUGAUAUUGCGAGGGUCAGGCUAGUGUUAGAUAGUGUUAAUCUUUGACGGAUCCACUAUCAACCCAUGUUGGGAUAACACAUGACCCAAGUAAUCCACGGUCUUUUGCCUAAACGCACAUUUGGAGAGCUUGGCAACCAACUGAUGUUCUCGUAAAGUGGAUAGGACCAAUUAAAGAUGAUCCAAGUGAAGCUUCCAGGAAGGACUAUAUAUCAAAAUGUCAUCAAA
rnacentral:misc_RNA from 1 species